rnacentral:tRNA from 1 species
UAUACAUACCUAAGGUUUUGAAAACCUGAAUAGCGAACACUACGCAUGUAUAU